rnacentral:SRP_RNA from 1 species
UGUGCUACACGGGGAGCUAGCGGUGCCCUUUACCUGCAAUCCGCUAUAGCAGGGUGGAAUCCCCUCUCUAGGUCUUUGCACAUAUCCUCUACAACUUCAGGUCGGUGUAGAUAACUGGGUCUUGGGCGACGAAGGCCUGCGAACUCCGUCAGAUCCGGAAGGAAGCAGCGGUAAGUAGAAACCUUUGGGUGCUCCGAGGCAACCUGGUUUGAGUCGCCUGUAGUUGCAAGAUAUAUGUAAUAGAUCAAAAGGGGGUGCAC